GCCGAACCGUCCAAACGUUAUUCGGAAUUACUGGGCUUAAAGGGUGCGUAGGCGGUGCGGAAAGUUGGGUGUGAAAUCCCUCGGCUUAACCGAGGAACUGCGCUCAAAACUACCGUGCUGGAGGAAGACAGAGGUGAGCGGAACUAAGGGUGGAGCGGUGAAAUGCGUUGAUAUCCUUAGGAACACCGGUGGCGAAAGCGGCUCACUGGGUCUUUUCUGACGCUGAGGCACGAAAGCUAGGGGAGCGAACGGG
rnacentral:rRNA from 1 species